AUUCCAGCUCCAAUAGCGUAUAUUAAAGUUGUUGCGGUUAAAAAGCUCGUAGUUGGAUUUCUGCUAGGGACGAUCGGUCCACCCACUGGGUGUGUAUCUGUGUCGGCCUUGGCAUCUUCCUGGCGAACGCAACUGCACUUGACUGUGUGGUGCGGUAUCCAGGACUUUUACUUUGAGGAAAUUAGAGUGUUUCAAGCAGGCGCACGCCUUGAAUACAUUAGCAUGGAAUAAUAAGAUAGGACCUGAGUUCUAUUUUGUUGGUUUCUAGAGCUGAGGUAAUGAUUAAUAGGGAUAGUUGGGGGCAUUCGUAUUUAACAGUCAGAGGUGAAAUUCUUGGAUUUGUUAAAGACGGACUACUGCGAAAGCAUUUGCCAAGGAUGUUUUCAUUG
rnacentral:rRNA from 1 species